GAUGAAGAACGUAGCGAAAUGCGAUACGUAGUGUGAAUUGCAGAAUUCAGUGAAUCAUCGAAUCUUUGAACGCACAUUGCGCCCUUUGGUAUUCCAAAGGGCAUGCCUGUUCGAGCGUCAUUUGUACCCUCAAGCUUUGCUUGGUGUUGGGCGUCUUGUCUCCAGUCCGCUGGAGACUCGCCUUAAAGUCAUUGGCAGCCGGCAUACUGGUUUCGGAGCGCAGCACAAGUCGCACUCUUUUCCAGCCAAGGUCAGUGUCCAACAAGCCUUUUUUCAACUUUUGACCUCGGAUCAGGUAGGGAUACCCGCUGAACUUAAGCAUAUCAAUAAGCGGAGGA
rnacentral:misc_RNA from 1 species